UACGGAGGUGGCAAGCGUUGCUCGGAGUCACUGGGCGUAAAGGGCGCGUAGGCGGGGAGGUAAGUCGGGUGUGAAAUCCCUCGGCCCAACUGAGGAACUGCGCCCGAGACUGCUUCUCUUGAGUCCCGGAGAGGAAGAUGGAAUUCCCGGUGUAGCGGUGAAAUGUGUAGAGAUCGGGAGGAACACCGGUGGCGAAGGCGGUCUUCUGGACGGUGACUGACGCUGAGGCGCGAAAGCGUGGGGAGCAAACGGG
rnacentral:rRNA from 1 species